rnacentral:lncRNA from 10 species
GGAUGCCACAGCCAAUGAUGUGCCUUCUCCAUAUGAAGUCAGAGGUUUUCCUACCAUAUACUUCUCUCCAGCCAACAAGAAGCUAAAUCCAAAGAAAUAUGAAGGUGGCCGUGAAUUAAGUGAUUUUAUUAGCUAUCUACAAAGAGAAGCUACAAACCCCCCUGUAAUUCAAGAAGAAAAACCCAAGAAGAAGAAGAAGGCACAGGAGGAUCUCUAAAGCAGUAGCCAAACACCACUUUGUAAAAGGACUCUUCCAUCAGAGAUGGGAAAACCAUUGGGGAGGACUAGGACCCAUAUGGGAAUUAUUACCUCUCAGGGCCGAGAGGACAGAAUGGAUAUAAUCUGAAUCCUGUUAAAUUUUCUCUAAACUGUUUCUUAGCUGCACUGUUUAUGGAAAUACCAGGACCAGUUUAUGUUUGUGGUUUUGGGAAAAAUUAUUUGUGUUGGGGGAAAUGUUGUGGGGGUGGGGUUGAGUUGGGGGUAUUUUCUAAUUUUUUUUGUACAUUUGGAACAGUGACAAUAAAUGAGACCCCUU